rnacentral:lncRNA from 1 species
AAUUAAAAAAAUAAAAAAGCAAAAAGAAAAGUAAAGCUGACAAAUGAAGGAGGGAAGAAAUCAUGAGUACAAGCCAUCAGAAAGGCCAUUCUACUAAACAGAAGCCUGAUCAAAUCAUACGCCGGCCACAACAAUCAGAAUCAAAGCACGCGCACAAAGGGAGCCACACUAGCCAGACCAGUGACGAGCCCAAGAUAACAAUUCCUGUUGCGAAGAAAGAAAUCACAGCCAAUCACAGCGAUUCGGGUAAAACUCUUGAUCUCCGUACAAGUAGUCCUUUGAACAAAAGUCGGAGGGGACGGAAAAAAUGCAUAAACCCUGCCAAGAGUCCUCCUCUCAAUCUCAACAAAAUCA